rnacentral:rRNA from 1 species
UACGUAGGGUGCGAGCGUUGUCCGGAAUUACUGGGCGUAAAGCGCGUGUAGGCGGCUUUGCAAGUCGGGUGUGAAAGCCCUCAGCUUAACUGAGGAAGUGCGCCCGAAACUGCAGAGCUUGAGUACCGGAGAGGAUGGUGGAAUUCCCCAAGUAGAGGUGAAAUUCGUAGAUAUGGGGAGGAACACCGGUGGCGAAGGCGGGUCUCUGGGCAACAACUGACGCUGAGGAGCGAAAGUGUGGGGAGCGAACAGG